rnacentral:rRNA from 1 species
UACGUAGGGUGCGAGCGUUAAUCGGAAUUACUGGGCGUAAAGCGUGCGCAGGCGGUUUGUUAAGACAGAUGUGAAAUCCCCGGGCUUAACCUGGGAACUGCAUUUGUGACUGGCAAGCUAGAGUAUGGUAGAGGGGGGUAGAAUUCCACGUGUAGCAGUGAAAUGCGUAGAGAUGUGGAGGAACAUCUGUGGCGAAGGCGGCCACCUGGACCAGCACUGACACUGAGGCACGAAAGCGUGGGGAGCAAACAGG